ensembl:lncRNA
CUCUUUUUAUCGUUUUACAAGAGCUGCUCCUAGUGCCCCUUCAGCAGCCUCGUGCCCCGUGCAGUUUUACUUGCAGUUUUCCCAUGGGGACUGUUGUUCCCACAUGGGAUCUGUAGUGGAGAGCAGUCAGCAAACCACUUUUGGGUCAGAUGCCUCAUGUAAACAUGAAGUGAUGCCCAAAGUUGUCUUACCCCAGAAAACGUCAGGAGCUUGAUUGCCUUCCAAAGAGGAACCCAGCUGGCUCAGAGUCUCAGCCAAAGUGAGAGACCACUGAAUACCAUUGAUGACAGCCAGACAGUUUUCAAAAGAGAGCAUGAGUACAGCCUCAGAAGCUGGUAAGAAUGGUUUUUCAUUGUUGUUUCUGAAGUGGUUAUUGGAGAAAGUGUGGGAGAAUUCUUGACUUUAUAACCAGGAAAGGUGGAAGUUUGAAACUAACUGCCAGAAAUUGAAGAUCCCUUCCCUCCCUUCCUCUCCCCCCUCCGUUCUCUUCCUUAUUGACACAUUCCUUGUUCCAUUUCAGUAUGGUGGUUUGCUUAUUUCAUCAGCACCUUUUUGCUGCAAUUUUAGGACCCCUUGGAAAAUCUCCCACUUACACACCUUUUCUCCAGGAUAUGGUCCCUGGAGGAAGCCUUCUGCACACUGUUUUCUUAGGCACCUGUGCACUAUAAUGUACGUCUAAUUGAAAUUGCAUUAAUGGUAUGAUUCCAUUACAGGCAAGCAAGAUGCUUGCUUCAAGAACACUCCCAGUGGGCCCUGAAUCAGCUGCAAUAGAUAAUUUAUAAAGUGCUGUGGAUCUUCUCAAAGCUCCAGUGUUAAGUACAGGAGACACAGGGCUAUCCAUUAUUAACAAGAUAUUAUGCUUUUUGUUCAGCAGAAAGUGUGGGUCUGGGAUGAGCUAAGGUCUAUCAAAGGUGAGAUUUGAGACUGCCAGUUUGACUGAACUAUUCCUCAGACACUGCCUCUAAGUCUGUGCCAGCUUUUGAACUCUCUUUGAAAGAUAGCUUUCACAUCUCUAUUCUGACCUGGUAUUCCAAGAGUUCUCUUUGGAUUUGCUUGCUUUGCAUUUUAACCUUUGUGAAAAGGCUGUGAGUGGAAAGAACUACUAGCUGCUUUUGAGUUAGGCCAGUGAUAAAGCAGCCAGUCAGGUUCCUCUGAACCCAGCCCUCUGUCAUCACAAACUUGAGUUUCCCUCCCUACUUCCACUUGUUCAUAUAUACUUCCUAGUCUGAAUCUUCAGUAAGCUUCUGGUAGCCUAUGCCUGGGAUAGCAAUGACUUUCUAGUGUGAUGAGCAGUAAGAAGGUAUAUAGGAACUGUUAUGUCACAGCCCGAACUGAUGAUUGAGCACCUGGGGAGGGGGAGCAGCUGGCCCAGGAAGAACAGGUGCAAGCAUUUUACCUGUUUCCCAUAUGACCCAGGGUCCACCCUUCCCUGGGCUCAUUUAAGGGCUAGCUUCUGAAGGGCUGAAUGUUUUCUGGAUGAAGACUGUUUUCUGAGAAGAAGCAUUCUGUAGUUAGAGAUUCUCUUGCUACCUGGGUGAGUCAACUUUUUCUAUAUAUGAUUAUUGAUGUUCCUAAUGAUGCUUUGCACGAUACUGUAAGGAUUUUAUUUGAAUUAAUUUUAGUGCUUCCAAGGGUCAACAGAAUGAAUGCAUGUGAAGUAUGAAUUUCCAUCAUAAACUACAGUCCUAUAUUGUAGAAGCAUUCCAACAGAAGGAAGAGAGUAAGAUGUGAAAGAGGUGGUACUUCUGAAUGUUUAGCUCCCCACCGCUAUAGUUUGUGUUCUCCUUUGCCCUGAGACUUACCUCCAAUUCCUUUCCCCUCUCUGUCCAUCACUCUACCAACACACUCAGUCUGCUGUGUUUUCUGUGGUUGUGCUAGUACUUAAU